rnacentral:misc_RNA from 1 species
AACCUAGCACACCUGCGGUGUGUACCUGCGGAGGGAUCAUUAUUAAUUUUAAGCGGACUGAGCUUUCUUUGGUGAGUCUUGCGAAAAUUGUAUUUAAAACACCCGCUCGUAAAAAAAAAUUUAAUUAAAAUUUUCAUAAUUAAAGAUAACUUUUAACAACGGAUCU